rnacentral:rRNA from 1 species
AUUGAACGCUGGCGGCAUGCUUUACACAUGCAAGUCGAACGGCAGCGCGGGCUUCGGCCUGGCGGCGAGUGGCGAACGGGUGAGUAAUGCAUCGGAACGUGCCCAGUAGUGGGGGAUAGCCCGGCGAAAGCCGGAUUAAUACCGCAUACGACCUGAGGGUGAAAGCGGGGGACCGAAAGGCCUCGCGCUAUUGGAGCGGCCGAUGUCGGAUUAGCUAGUUGGUGGGGUAAAGGCUUACCAAGGCGACGAUCCGUAGCUGGUCUGAGAGGACGACCAGCCACACUGGGACUGAGACACGGCCCAGACUCCUACGGGAGGCAGCAGUGGGGAAUUUUGGACAAUGGGGGCAACCCUGAUCCAGCCAUGCCGCGUGCGGGUAGAAGGCCUUCGGGUUGUAAACCGCUUUUGUUCGGGAAGAAAUCCUCUGGGCUAAUACCCCGGGGGGAUGACGGUACCGGAAGAAUAAGCACCGGCUAACUACGUG